rnacentral:rRNA from 7 species
AAACGACUCUCGGCAACGGAUAUCCCGGCUCUCGCAUCGAUGAAGAACGUAGCGAAAUGCGAUACUUGGUGUGAAUUGCAGAAUCCCGUGAACCAUCGAGUCUUUGAACGCAAGUUGCGCCUGAGGCCAUUAGGCUAAGGGCACGUCUGCCUGGGUGUCACGC